UUAAUAAUGAUUAGGACACAGAUGACGGCUCUAUGCAGCUUUGGUAACACAGAGAGGAAACUACAACCCUGUUUUCAUCCAAACAAACGGUCCUUAACGAUCAGUAGACGGCAUUACCUCGAAUGUGGACCCAGUUAGUGAGCGAAGCUUUAGGGACCGUCUGCAAAGUGCUAACCAGAAAAUUUCUACUUAUUUAAAAUUCAGUAACUUUUCUUCUACUCAGUGAAAUGGCACCAGAUUUAUGUGACACACCCAUGGACCCCUUCUGAACACACUACACCACUCAGAUUGGACAAAUAUCAUACACAGAUUAGCCAAAAUAUAAUAUGAGGUACAUCUGUAUUUAAAUGGGUCUAUAUAGUGUCACCAAAUGAUGUAUUGCUUGCUUAUUUGUCUAAGGGUUUGUUUACAUGUUUGCAGGGAAAUAUAUAUA